rnacentral:lncRNA from 1 species
ACUCUAGCUCUAGAUAACUGAAACCUACUCAGUCUCACACCCCACUUAUUUUUAGCUUCCUCACCCAAUGCUUUUAAUCUCAUGUGAAGGGUAUGCCUUAGAAGGGGAACAAAUUUCUUAGCAACAAAGGAAGGCCUUGCUUGUCUGUUUUUAUUACUCAAGUAACAUGUGUGCUCAUCCUUUAGUGUGACAAUUUGCCAAUAGCUAUUCUGUUCAUACUUGGAAGCCCUCAAAUAAAAUGGACACCCUUCCUGACACUUGAUUACAAUCCUCUUAGGUUCAUUUUUUUUAAACACAAUAUCCUUCUUAUUUUGCAGGGCAUAGUCUCUCACAGCAUCUCUAAACAAAUUUGGAUCAGUAAAUACAUGGCCAACCUCAAAUUUGAUCACAGAACUUUCACCUCCCACCUUGAAUUUUGGAAAUUUCCUCCUCCUUAGCUUCUCACAGUCCUCAUCACUGUCAUAUGGACUUUCUAGGUCUUCAGAACUCUCA